AACUAUGAACAGGGCUCAAAGAAUACUAGCGUAGUAUGCCUUCUCUUGGUUAUGGUUCCUGGGUAAGAGCUGCACAUAUUAACGUAAUACAAAAGUAAAUGACAUAAGAGGUCAACAUUCUUUGAAGUCAAUUACUUAAAGCUCAUAAAAAAGGUAAAAAUGAUGAGUUACAGCCUGUAAGAGAACAAGCUUUCGUUAAAGAAUCAUCAGGCUCUGUGUGUCCAAUAAUCAAUUGAGCAAGGCCACAAGCCUCAAAAUAUUCUAGGAUUUUUCUUCUUUUUUCCUGGGCCAAAAGCAAAAUAUCUCCUGUUAUAAUUGUUUUUAUCAUCCAAUUCACUUGCCUAAAACCUCAUGGUCAAUAAUCUGCACGUCAAUAAUAGCUUAUGUUGCUACCUGUAGAUCACAAGCACAAGACAAGGCCACUGCUUCUGCAAGAGAAGAUGUUCAUACUUGCAAAGGUUUUGAGAAUGCAAAACAGAAGUAGUUAUUGUUCUACUAAAGUAUCAUCAGGGUUGUUUAAUUGAUGAGCAGUUGUUGAUAGUGACAACAAAUUCUUCUUUUAUAGUGAAGAUAAAACCCAAGAAUAUGAAAGCAAAUAUAUCAGAACUUGGGGACCAUUGUUUCUGACCAAUCAUUUUGUCAAUAUGAUGAUAGAAUCGUUGGAUUAUUAGUCAAAAAAGAACAAGUCAUGAAAAUUCACAAGACCAAAUGGUUGGCAACUUUGCCCUGGCAGUAACAGAAUCUCACAACUGUGUGGUCACCCUCUAGUCUCUCUUUUUAAAAUAAUGCCAUCUUUUAAUUUUUCAUAGAGGCAGGUUUAUUCAGGAAGAUAAAAAGUCAGCUUUUUCUUCUAGAAAAGGGUCUCAAUGGAAUAUUUUUUGUAUCA